AUUUUUCUAACUGUAUAUAUGUGCUGUGUGUACCCUUAGCCAUUAAAAAACUAGUUGUUAAUUUCAUUCGCUGCAGUCUCUCUUAAGUUAGCUCCCAGCUCUCACUUCCGUUUACUUGAAUGUUUAGGGUGGUGGAUGAACGAGACGAAUGCAUUGCGCUCCUAAGAAGAUUGUGAACUGCCGAGGCUACCCAACUAGCUGCGAGUAGACAAGCGAGGCAUGGCUUGGUUACUGACUGCGGUUACUGCGCGAGCGCCGACGCGGCGGGGUGGGGCUUGCUCGGCCCGUUCGGGCUACUCGUGCUGGUCAACGAUGGCCUGUCGGAGCAGACCGCUGUCUACUUCUACCUGGUCAAGGGUGCGGACGGGAAGCUCAGCACUCACUUCUGCCAAGACGCCUUCAGGUCGUUGAAGGCGAACAUUCUCGUCAAGGCCGUUUACGGCAGCUUCGUCCCUGUACUUGAUGGAGAAAAUCUAUAAG